rnacentral:rRNA from 1 species
GUGGGGAAUAUUGGACAAUGGGCGAAAGCCUGAUCCAGCCAUGCCGCGUGUGUGAAGAAGGUCUUUGGAUUGUAAAGCACUUUAAGUUGGGAGGAAGGGUAGUAACCUAAUACGUUGCUACUUUGACGUUACCGACAGAAUAAGCACCGGCUAACUUCGUGCCAGCAGCCGCGGUAAUACGAAGGGUGCAAGCGUUAAUCGGAAUUACUGGGCGUAAAGCGCGCGUAGGUGGUUCAGUAAGUUGGAAGUGAAAUCCCCGGGCUCAACCUGGGAACUGCUUUCAAAACUGCUGAGCUAGAGUACGGUAGAGGGUGGUGGAAUUUCCUGUGUAGCGGUGAAAUGCGUAGAUAUAGGAAGGAACACCAGUGGCGAAGGCGACCACCUGGACUGAUACUGACACUGAGGUGCGAAAGCGUGGGGAGCAAACAGGAUUAGAUACCCGUGUAGUCC